AUCACUUCGUACCACGCCUCACUGCCGCUGUGACCUGCCCAGUGUUUUCUAGCAGGGAUACGGCUAUGGGCAGUCAAGAAAGGCGCUGUGGGUCUCCAGGAUGAAGCUGCAGUGCUGGAGUUUACCCACAGCCAGGGCCAAGCAGCAGAAACAACCAGGGUGUGGCAACUAAGGGACUGGAAUACACAUUUGCUUGGAGUCUAAUAGAAUUGGCUUCAUAGGAAAACCUCGCCCCUUCCAGCUCCUCCUCCUUUGAAGCAAUCUGAGCCUCAAGUUCCUGUAAAUAAAUAAGAUCUGCCUGGCAGCAUUGUUAUGAGGACUAACAGAUAAGGUGAGUAAUGUAAAACAGUUAGCAGAGGGUCUGCCAUGUAGCUCAAGAAAUCAAAGUUAUUAUGAUGAUGUUUGCUCUGUAAAUUAUCCAUUUUCUUCUAAAAUCUUCCUCUGAGUUAUAUCAUGUAGAAAUCAUCACCUGUAUUUGGCAGGUGAGGAAACUAGGGCUUCAGCAAAUUCAUACUGCAGAUCCAGAUUCACAAAGCUGCUUGGUGUCAGACUAUCACACCACAUCUCCUACCCUGAGUCACUGUAUGGCAUCCAUUUGGAACUCCCAUGCCCUUAUCUUGCUGUUGAAUCUAGACAGGUGUCCCUGACUCCCAACAUCCUCACGAAAGAGAAGAGCUGCUAAGCCUUGCCCAGCUUGGAAACUCUUCAAAACCCUGUCACUACUGGAAUUUUUUUUUUUUUUUUUUUUUUUUUUUUUUUUUUUGAGAUUGAGUCUCAUUCUGUCACCCAAAAAGGCUGGAGGGCAGUGGCACCAUCUCGGCUCACUGCAACCUCCACCUCUUGGGUUCAAGCGAUUCUCCUGCCUCAGCCUCCCAAGAUGCUGGGAUUAUAGGCAUUCACCACCCCAUGCCUGGCUAAUUUUUGUAUUUUUAGUAGAGAUGGGGUUUUGCUACGUUGGGCAGGCUGAUCUCGAACUCCUGAUCUCAAGUGAUCCACCCACCUCAGCCUCCCAAAGUGCUGAGAUUACAGGCAGGAGCCACUGUGCCCAGCACUACUGGAACAUUCUUCCAGAGACUCAUCUUCAUGGUCUCUGUUGUUUUAAUCUAAUCACCUAGAAGCAAACCUGAGGAAGUGUAAGUUAUUAAGUCACUUACCUGAGUAAGUUUAAGUUGCAACCACGUUGGUCCCAUGAUAAAGAACAAGUUACAUGUGUGGGGUCCAUCUGCAAAAUUAGACCUGUCCAAAGGAGAGUUCAGAGGCCCCGAAGUAGCUUCUGAGCUCUCCCCUCAGCCUCUACUUCCUACCAAAUGCUGCUUUCACACCUCAUGUAAAGCAUGUAAAUCCAUCAUAGGCCCUCUCCCAAAUAGCAUCUCAAUUCCUAUCCUAGUUUUAUAUGAAAGAGAAAAGAGACUUCUAUCCUGGUUAGAAGAGUCCGUGCAUCCUUGAGCCAGGGAGGUAGUACUUCCAUGGGCUCCUCCUCACAACUUACCACUUAAGUGGUGAUGUUCCCUGACGAUCUAUAAUCCUUCUCCAGUUUGGAGAGUUAGCCCUAGGUUUAAAAUUUGGAACAAGGCUGUUGACGAUGCUACACAUAUAUGCCUUCAUCCCAAAGCAGUGGACCAUGUAUAACUAGAGUUAACAUCACAGAGAACUAGCCUAUGAUAUGUAAGUCAUGCUACCCGUAUCACACAGAGCUUUCUUUUCAAACACCAAUGAAAACGAAAAUCAUUUGGGAUCCCAUAUAAGCUGUCUUUGCCUGGAGCUGUCAAGCAAUGACUUCAGCAAAAUUAACUGGUUCACUUAAAUAACAACAACAAAAAGCAGCACAUAAUAUAACACCUAAUUCCCCCCAGCCUCCAAACUUGGAGGCUGAAUUAUUAAAGCAAAACAAAAUAAAACAAAACCUUUAUUAUCCUGAAACUCUAUGUCCUUACCCUAAGUUAAGGAUCAAUGCACAUUUUUUGUAAGGAUCAGAGAGUAAAUAGUUGAAUCUUUGAAGGUCAUAGUACCUCUGUCACAACAACUCAACUCUGCCACUAUAAGAAAAAGCAGUCAGAGUCAAAACAUAAACAAAUGAACUUGGCUGUGUUCCAAUAAAACUUUAUUUAUAAACACUGAAAUUUAAAUUUCAUAUGCCUCACAUAUUACAAAAUAUUAUUAUUCUUUUGAUGUUUUCCCAACCUUUUAAAAAUGUAAAAAACAUUAUUUGCUCAGGGGCAAUACAAAAACAGGCAGGAGGCUGGAUUUGGCCCACAGGCUACAGUUUGCCAACCCCAGCUCAAAGUCAGCACAUAUAUUCAGAUGACUCCCUAGUAGGAAUCACUAGCAGCUCAAAGUCAGCACAUAUAUUCAGGUGACUCCCUAGUAGGAAUCACUAGCAGCUCAAAGAUCAGCUUAACAGGGCUUCCUUUCUAGCUCCUAGUGUAGGACCUGCUUCCCAGAGGCCACUCCAUGUCCACUGCUUCAAAGAGUGGUACAACUUAUAAAAAUAGAUCCAGAAGGUGAUUUCAGGAUUAGAUGCUGGUGUGUUGCUUACGAAAUCUCAUCCUCAUCCAUUCUGAGCCAAAUUACUGAUCACAUAUUUCUCAUUCAUACAAAUAAGUAAAUUCUGCAAGUUUAUGCCACUAAACUUUUCCACACACAUAGUAGGCAAGGUUUCUACAUCUCACCCUCAGCUUUAGCCUUUGCUUACUCUCUGGUUGCAAAACAGCAGGAAUUAAGGGUAAUAAAGUUAACAUUCUCAUCCCAUAGAGAUCAGAGGAUGUUCCUGUCAUCUAUCAAGUAAUUGA
rnacentral:lncRNA from 1 species